UUUACACACAGGAGGACAGUGAGUGAGAGAUGGGUGACUAGGGCUCGUGUGAGAAGAUGGAGUCCCUAUGGCCUGGGGGAGCAAAUGUUAGGGUUUAUAUACUGAGCUGGGAAUUCGAUUUCUUGGAAAAACAACUUCCUUUGAAAAUAACACUUGUCAGAGAGAUAAUAGAAAUAUUUACUGAACUGACAGACAUUUGAGUUUGGUAACUGUUAGGCUGGAAAUCACCACAGACCCUGUAACGGAACACCCCGUACUCCGACCGAGUACCCUCCAUUGAUGGACGCUUCCUAGCCUGCACUGAAGACCACAAGCACCGGACACCACAAGCACCGCUGACUCCACAACCGCCAUACCUUAACUGGAGUCUCACCCGUCUUCUCUCCACCUUGGAUUAGCUUCUGCCCUCCAUGACCAUGUGGGGAAGACCUCUCCUCCAAGAGAGCUUAUCAGGAACAAGCUCUUAAAAGAGCUAAGUGAUUAAAGCUCAGGGGAGCAUGCAGAGCAUAGUAAUCCCC